rnacentral:lncRNA from 10 species
UACCUUGUUUGAAAAGAGUCUUUGCAGAUAUAGCAAGUUGAAGAUCCUGAUAUGAGGAGAUCAUCCUGGAUUAUCUGAGCAGUUCCAAAUUCCAAUGAUAAGCAUUAUUAUAUUGUGAGGCAGAGGGAGAUUUGACCCAUGAACCCAUACAGAGGAGACCAUGUGAUGACUGAGAAUACAUUCAUACCUUUGUGGUAAUAGGGUAGGGUGCCCUGUGAUGAUAGCCAAGGUGCCAAGGUUGGGAAGCCCUGCUGCAGAGGAAACAGCACAGCACACUGUAAUCUCCAA